GGCCAGACUCCUACGGGAGGCAGCAGUGAGGAAUAUUGGUCAAUGGGCGGAAGCCUGAACCAGCCAAGCCGCGUGAGGGAAUAAGGCUCUACGGGUCGUAAACCUCUUUUGCCGGGGAGCAAGGGCGGGGACGUGUCCCGGCCCGGAGAGUACCCGGAGAAAAAGCAUCGGCUAACUCCGUGCCAGCAGCCGCGGUAAUACGGAGGAUGCGAGCGUUAUCCGGAUUUAUUGGGUUUAAAGGGUGCGUAGGCGGGCUUUUAAGUCAGCGGUAAAAAUUCGGGGCUCAACCCCGUCCGGCCGUUGAAACUGGGGGCCUUGAGUGGGCGAGAAGAAGGCGGAAUGCGUGGUGUAGCGGUGAAAUGCGUAGAUAUUAGGAGGAACACCAGUGGCGAAGGCGACUUUCUGGACUGUACCUGACGCUGAGGCGCGAAAGCGUGGGUAGCGAACGGGAUUAGAUACCCUGGUAA
rnacentral:rRNA from 1 species